GCGCCUGUAGCUCAAUGGAUAGAGCAACAGCCUUCUAAGCUGAAGGUUGAAGGUUCGAGUCCUUCCAGGCGCGCCA
rnacentral:tRNA from 1 species